UACGUAGGGGGCUAGCGUUGUCCGGAAUCAUUGGGCGUAAAGCGCGUGUAGGCGGUUUGGUAAGUCCGCUGUGAAAGUCAAAGGCUCAACCUUUGAAUGCCGAUGGAUACUGCAGGGCUAGAGUCCGGAAGAGGCGAGUGGAAUUCCUGGUGUAGCGGUGGAAUGCGCAGAUAUCAGGAGGAAUACCGGUGGUGUAGACGGCUCUCUGGACCGCGACUGACGCUGAGACACGAAAGCGUGGGUAGCAAACAGG
rnacentral:rRNA from 1 species